rnacentral:rRNA from 1 species
CAGAGGGAUGCUACCGGGCGACCGGAUGCGGAUCUCGAAAGCCUGUCCCAGUUCGGACUGGAGUCUGCAACCCGACUCCACGAAGUUGGAUUCGCUAGUAAUCGCGCAUCAGCCAUGGCGCGGUGAAUACGUUCCCGGGCCUUGUACACACCGCCCGUCAAGCCAUGGGAGCCGGGGGCGCCUGAAGUCCGGGACCGCGAGGACCGGCCUAGGGCGAAACUGGUAACUGGGGCUAAGUCGUAACAAGGUACC